rnacentral:rRNA from 1 species
CAGCCGCCGCGGUAAUACCGGCGGCCCGAGUGGCGGUCACUAUUAUUGGGCUUAAAACGUCCGUAGCCGGGUUGGGAAGUCCUCCGGGAAAUCUGGCCGCUUAACGGUCAGAAUGCCGGAGGAUACUCCCAGCCUAGGGGGCGGGAGAGGCCGAGGGGAUUCCCGGAGUAGGGGGGAAAUCCUAUAAUCCCGGGAGGACCACCUGUGGCGAAGGCGCUCGGCUGGAACGCGUCCGACGGUGAGGGACGAAGGCCAGGGGAGCAAACCGGAUUAGAUACCCGGGUAGUCCUGGCUGUAAACGAUGCGGACUUUGUGUCGGACAAGCUAUGAGCUUGUCCGGUGCCGGAGGGAAACCGUUAAGUCCGCCGCCUGGGGAGUACGGCCGCAAGGCUGAAACUUAAACGAAUUGGCGGG